rnacentral:rRNA from 1 species
AUUGAACGCUGGCGGCAGGCUUAACACAUGCAAGUCGAGCGGGGUGAUGGUGCUUGCACUAUCACUUAGCGGCGGACGGGUGAGUAAUGCUUAGGAAUCUGCCUAUUAGUGGGGGACAACAUCUCGAAAGGGAUGCUAAUACCGCAUACGUCCUACGGGAGAAAGCAGGGGAUCACUUGUGACCUUGCGCUAAUAGAUGAGCCUAAGUCGGAUUAGCUAGUUGGUGGGGUAAAGGCCUACCAAGGCGACGAUCUGUAGCGGGUCUGAGAGGAUGAUCCGCCACACUGGGACUGAGACACGGCCCAGACUCCUACGGGAGGCAGCAGUGGGGAAUAUUGGACAAUGGGGGGGACCCUGAUCCAGCCAUGCCGCGUGUGUGAAGAAGGCCUUAUGGUUGUAAAGCACUUUAAGCGAGGAGGAGGCUCUUUUGGUUAAUACCCAGAAUGAGUGGACGUUACUCGCAGAAUAAGCACCGGCUAACUCUGUGCCAGCCGCCGCGGUAAAAC